CGACGUAGGUAACCUGCCUUGUAGCGGGGGAUAACUAUUGGAAACGAUAGCUAAUACCGCAUAACAAUGGAUGACUCAUGUCAUUUAUUUGAAAGGGGCAAAUGCUCCACUACAAGAUGGACCUGCGUUGUAUUAGCUAGUAGGUGAGGUAACGGCUCACCUAGGCGACGAUACAUAGCCGACCUGAGAGGGUGAUCGGCCACACUGGGACUGAGACACGGCCCAG
rnacentral:rRNA from 1 species